AGCGAGUGAAUAAAUACAAUGUACGCCAUUUACAUUUCAUAUUUAAAAUGAAAGAAAAAAUAAUAAAAAUAAAAUAAAUUUUAUUUUAUUAGAAUAUAAACGUGGAAAAAUAGGGUAAUGUUAAUCUUAAUGUCAUUAUUUUACAUCUUAUUCGUUCAGUAGUUGUACGUGUCCACACUCCUUUUUAAUAGUCCAUCAGAGGCAGUGUGGAGAUGAUUAUGUGUGAACAUUUCAGGGCAACGGUGAAGAAAGCCCCUGCAGAGCAGCGCUGUAAUGUUUUAAUAAGGCAGUGUAGUGCAGCGGCGGCGCGCGUGCAGAUAAAGAGGAGCUCCGAGCUUCGCUUCGCUCUUAACGCUGGAAAAGAAAAGACGGAAAGACAAAUGAUGAUCUCCACUUCGUCUCCUCCAUAUGAACACGCACUUGUUGGAGCGACGAGCUGGAUUUUCCCUUCAACUCCCGAUUCUGCUGGGAGGAAUAAAGAUGAUAAGAGAUAUGAUUUCGUCGGGAUUUUUAUAAUCGAUUACAGUGAUAGAUAUGUCUCUCAUAUGAGCCGCUGGCGCUGAAUGACGAGCUCGCAGAAAGCUUGCCGAGUCCGUGCCAAAAGCUCCAUAUGGGGACAUUCACAGGGGGGAGCGGAGUAGAGCAGAACAGAGUAGAGAAGAACGGGCCAGGAGGAACCAGCACGACAUGCUGUUACACACAUCUACACCAACGCACGUGGGUGCCACCGAGUCCUGCUCAAUAGUGUGUUUUGUGGCAAACGAAGAACAAUGCAGCGCACGCGUGCACACACUGAGGGGUGGGAGGUGUGGAGUGGAGAGAUGUGAUUCACUGGCUGGAAAGAUCUAAGACUGGAACAUCUUACCUUUUUACCUGCUUGUCAGAGUAACCAGUAGAGUGGAUUGUCUUUCAGUGCAGUGGCCAAACAAUAACAUAGGCCUACAUUAUCUGCUUUUCUUAACGCAUUACAAUCAUAAUAAUAUUUGAAACGUUAGCUGUGUAUGUAUGUGCAUUCUAUGUGCUCUCU
rnacentral:lncRNA from 1 species